AAUGCCAUGUCUCAAGUAUUUAAGGAUCGCUGAUUGUCCAAAAUUGACGAUGAUUCCUGAAGGACUGAAGAAUCUGCCACUUGAUCAAUUGGAAUUUUCGGAAAUGCAUGUAAAAUUAACGACUAGGAUUAAGGAGAAGACUGGAGAAGACUGGCACAAAAUACAACAUGUGCCCAACAUCUCCAUUCAAUGGUCUUUAAGAUGAAGCAAUGGACAUCUGUAGUAUUGCUAGCUGCCUUCAAAGGGGUUAGUGAGGACUACUUUUGGAUUUCACAUGAGCUCCAGAUUAAGAACAAAGGAAUACUCCUGCG